rnacentral:rRNA from 1 species
GCCGCUCCGGGAUGGGCCCGCGGCCCAUCAGGUAGUUGGUGGGGUAAUGGCCCACCAAGCCGAUGACGGGUAGGGGGCGUGAGAGCGUGGCCCCCCGCACGGGGACUGAGACACGGCCCCGACGCCUACGGGCGGCAGCAGUGAGGAAUCUUCCGCAAUGGGCGAAAGCCUGACGGAGCGACGCCGCGUGGGGGAAGAAGGCCGAAAGGUCGUAAACCCCUUUUCCCGGGGACGAGGAAGGACGGUACCCGGGGAAUAAGUCCCGGCUAACUACGUGCCAGCAGCCGCGGUAAUACGUAGGGGGCUAGCGUUACCCGGAUUCACUGGGCGUAAAGGGCGCGUAGGCGGUCCCGUAAGUCGGGCGUGAAAGCUCCGGGCUCAACCCGGAGAGGUCGUCCGAUACUGCGGGACUUGAGGACGGGAGAGGGGGGUGGAAUUCCCGGUGUAGCGGUGAAAUGCGCAGAUAUCGGGAGGAACACCAGUGGGGAAGCCGGCCCCCUGGCCCGGUCCUGACGCUGAGGCGCGAAAGCGUGGGGAGCGAAGGGGAUUAGAUACCCCCGUAGUCCACGCCCUAAACGAUGGGUGCUAGGUGUGGGGGGUUUAAAAACCCUCCGUGCCGAAGCUAACGC